UGUAGCUCAGUCGGUUAGAGCAGCGGACUCAUAAUCCGUUUGUCGCAGGUUCGAGCCCUGCCG
rnacentral:tRNA from 2 species